UAGGAUGUAGUGUAAAGGGAGCACAAAGGGUUUUGAGUUCUUUGGUAUAGGUUUGAGUCCCUUUGUCCUUA
rnacentral:tRNA from 1 species